GAUGAACGCUGGCGGCGUGCCUAACACAUGCAAGUCGAGCGUGAACCGUCUGAAUGAAACUUCGGUCGAGUGAGGAUGGGGAAAGCGGCGGACGGGUGAGUAACGCGUGAGCAAUCUGCCUCAUACAGGGGGAUAACAGGUGGAAACACUUGCUAAUACCGCAUAAGACCACAGCGCUGCAUGGCGCAGGGGUCAAAGGAGUAAGAUCCGGUAUGAGAUGAGCUCGCGUCCCAUUAGCUAGUUGGCGGGGUAACGGCCCACCAAGGCGACGAUGGGUAGCCGACCUGAGAGGGUGAUCGGCCACACUGGGACUGAGACACGGCCCAGACUCCUACGGGAGGCAGCAGUGGGGAAUAUUGCGCAAUGGGGGGAACCCUGACGCAGCAACGCCGCGUGAGUGAAGAAGGUCUUCGGAUCGUAAAACUCUGUCAUAGGGGAAGAAGGAGAUGACGGUACCCUAUGAGGAAGCCCCGGCUAACUACGUG
rnacentral:rRNA from 1 species